rnacentral:rRNA from 1 species
UGGGGAAUUUUGGACAAUGGGCGAAAGCCUGAUCCAGCAAUGCCGCGUGUGUGAAGAAGGCCUUCGGGUUGUAAAGCACUUUUGUCCGGAAAGAAAUCCUUGGCUCUAAUACAGUCGGGGGAUGACGGUACCGGAAGAAUAAGCACCGGCUAACUACGUGCCAGCAGCCGCGGUAAUACGUAGGGUGCAAGCGUUAAUCGGAAUUACUGGGCGUAAAGCGUGCGCAGGCGGUUUGCUAAGACCGAUGUGAAAUCCCCGGGCUCAACCUGGGAACUGCAUUGGUGACUGGCAGGCUAGAGUAUGGCAGAGGGGGGUAGAAAUUCCACGUGUAGCAGUGAAAUGCGUAGAGAUGUGGAGGAAUACCGAUGGCGAAGGCAGCCCCCUGGGCCAAU